UCACUUAAGCAGUAUAUGUACUAAAAUUGGAAUGAUACAGAGAAAGAUCAGUACGGGUCCUGCACAAGAAUGACAUGUAAGUCUGUGAAGCAUUUCACACUUAA
ensembl:snRNA U6 U6 spliceosomal RNA